CGACGGGAGUACCCGGGGCAUUUCCGAAUUUUAAUUUUUUUACCGCGUAGAAGAAGCAGGAAAGAAAAAUUGAGGAAAACGGAAAACUUAUCAAACUUACCUUUAUUGGAAGGUAAUAUGCUUUAUUUAAUAUCAAUCCUUGUAGUAGAGUACUUAGAUUGCCAAUAUAGAUGGAAAUUUAGGACAUCGAGCCCGAACUUAAUGUGAUAUUUCGACAUAAAGUUUGUGCUUUUGCUUUGCACGUGGUUCGCUUUAUGGGCGAUUGUCGAACUUUAAACCGUGUUUUAAUUCAUAAUUGUUGACCAAGUGAGUAAAAAGACUAAGAUCUAGAAUUGUUUAAGUUGUCGAAAAAAGGUCUUAUCUCGGAGUUCUUGCUGAAAAUUUUUAUAUUAUGGUGGGACGAAUAUUUCAUCAGCUUGAUUUUAACAAUAUUGUGUUUUUAUACAAUGUAUUUGAUAAGUAUGCUAGUAAGAUGAAUUUAAAGUUUGUAGGCUGAGGGUGGUUUGAAAAGAAGAUUGUUCUUUUGAAGACAUCUACUUCAGACUCAAAAAUAUGCACUUGUAGUAGCAGUUUAAAGGGGGGGGAGGGGGGGGAUGAAUAGGGGUAUACAAAUCCGCCCAAAUUUGAAGCAAAAUCCGCGAUCCAACAAUGGUCUUGUCUAAAUUUGAAUCCGCUAAAAGCUCUACUAUGAAGUCACAAUCCAGGAUUCAAACUAAAUUGCAAGCUAAUUAAUCCACAAUUAUCCAAGCCAAAAUAUUAGAUAAAUCCGCAAUCUAUUGUAUUAAUAAGAUCCACAAAUCUGUGUAAAAUAUUUGCCAGAUCCGAAAUCCGAACAAUUCUUUUCUGUGAAAUCCAACGGUCCAAAAACCUACUCACCCCCUCCCCCUUUUAAAGCUUUCUUUCGACAUAGGCUUGCUAGGAAUGUUCAGUAUGAGAAAUUUUCGGUAUCGGUAUACCGAAAAAAUUAUACCAAUAUUAUCGGUAUACCGGUUUUCCUGAAAGAAAUUUUGAGUAAUUCUAAAAGGGAAAACGAUCAUUUUGAAGCUGUUUCGAACAUGUUUCGAACGACACAUACGCAGUGUAAAAUCUCACUGAAGUGGAAAUUCUAAAUCAUUGCAGUAGAAAGUUCUUUGAAUUGCCAUUCAGUAGUAAAAUAAAGGUUAUGGUUUCGCCAUAUAGUCGAUAAAUUUAACACGGUAUACCGAAAAAUUCCAGUAUAUCGGAAAUUUUCGGUAUAUUGGAAAUAUCGGUAUGGUUGAAUAUCCGGUACCGAUAUACCGAUAUUGAUUUAAUACCGAUAUUUUUAGUAUACCGGUAUACCAAAUAGUCCUAAGGCUGGCAAGGAUUUAGAGAAUGCUAAAAAAUAAAAAGGACAGUAUUUGUUAAAUUUAAAAGCAUAUUAAUUUGAUUUACCAGUACAGCAUUUCCAAUUGGUCGGCAUUUUUUGGAUAAAUAUUGAACAUUACAAAAAUAUGUGGUGAAAUGAAACCUGUUUUAUUUCCUGAAAAAUCAGGAUAGGAAUGUCGAAUAAUUUUCUUCAAAUAUUUUUUGGCUUGACAUUUUUGUUUCAGACUCUGAUGUUCAUAUUGUGAUUUUCAUCUCACUAGCCAAGCUAUUCACACCCUCAAUAAAAUUCUCAUAAAUUUUUGUAGAUGUACAGUGCAAGUUCCAAGAAUGUCACAAGACCUCAUGAUUAUGAAAAAUGGACUCACAUGACAGUCUAAGAUCCUGAAUAAGAGGUAAAUUUUUAAAUUUUUUUUUUUUUAUUAACUUUACAAUCAUAUUAUAUAAAAAAUACACAUACAGCUAUGAUUGAAGGAUUGGACAACAGAACUAGAAUCCCAUACUAAGUCCAUCCAUCUAACACUAAAACACGACAUAUUACGGACUGCAAAAUGGACAACGUAAAUACUGAUUUUACAGGCCUUUAUACUAUAUAAAACAUGCAAGAAUAAAUAUACAUAACUACACUACCCCACUGAUUUUUCUGCUAAUUAUUUCUAACCUCCAAUUUUGUAUUUCUUGGACAAUUUUCUUUGUAAUAUAUGAAUUUGUUUCAUGUUCUCAAUAGUAAAUUUUUUAAAUUUUCUAGAUGUGUGUUGCAAUUUCAAAGAAUGUCUCGAAAGAAUGUCUCGGAUCAAGUUGUCGGCUGAAGUGUUAUUGAUCACAAAAAUGAACACUGUCAUUGGAAAGUAUAUAAAAGGUCUUAAUAUUUUCCUGUCUUAUCUUACAUGCAAUGUUUUGAACAUUAUAUGAUUGCCUGUGAUCAAUAGUUUCAAAAAUUCCAGCAGAAUGUUGCAAAAAUAGCAUGACCAUGUUACUUAUGACACAAAAUACAACAAAAAUAAUGAGCACAAUCUUUGCACCUAAAUAUGGUGAAUGCGCAAUAAUUGCACUCUUUUUAUUCUAUUAUUACAUCACUAUCCACGGUUGCCACUGAUCACAGAAACUCUAUAAUUUUCAAAGCAUAAGCAUUUUAUGAGCAAGCCAGAAAAUGACAAACUGUCAAAAAUGUGAUUUAACAGUAAUGAUUUGGUUUGGACAUGCAUUUUUUCUGUUUGACAUUAAUAGCUAAGUCUUAAAGUGCAGAAUAUAUAAAUUUGUGUUUAUCUGUGUUCUAUCUGAG